rnacentral:rRNA from 1 species
UAAGGAAUAUUGGUCAAUGGGCGCAAGCCUGAACCAGCCAUGCCGCGUGCAGGAAGACGGCCCGAUGGGUUGUAAACUGCUUUUGUCAGGGAAUAAACCCCCGCUCGUGAGCGGGGCUGAAGGUACCUGAAGAAUAAGCAUCGGCUAACUCCGUGCCAGCAGCCGCGGUAAUACGGAGGAUGCAAGCGUUAUCCGGAUUCAUUGGGUUUAAAGGGUGCGCAGGCGGAUUGGUAAGUCAGGGGUGAAAUCCCACAGCUCAACUGUGGAUCUGCCUUUGAUACUGGCGGUCUAGAGUAUAGUUGAAGUACGCGGAACGUCUCAUGUCGCUGUGACAUGCUUAGAUAUGACACAGAACACCGAUCGCGACGGCAGCUCGCUAAGCUAUCACAGCCGCUCAUGCACGAAAGCGUGGGGAUCAAACA